rnacentral:rRNA from 1 species
GACGAACGCUGGCGGCGUGCUUAACACAUGCAAGUCGAACGGAAAGGCCCUGCUUUUGUGGGGUGCUCGAGUGGCGAACGGGUGAGUAACACGUGAGUAACCUGCCCUUGACUUUGGGAUAACUUCAGGAAACUGGGGCUAAUACCGGAUAGGAGCUCCUGCUGCAUGGUGGGGGUUGGAAAGUUUCGGCGGUUGGGGAUGGACUCGCGGCUUAUCAGCUUGUUGGUGGGGUAGUGGCUUACCAAGGCUUUGACGGGUAGCCGGCCUGGGAGGGUGACCGGCCACAUUGGGACUGAGAGACGGACCAGACUCCUACGGGAGGCAGCAGUGGGGAAUAUUGCACAAUGGGCGGAAGCCUGAUGCAGCAACGCCGCGUGCGGGAUGACGGCCUUCGGGUUGUAAACCGCUUUCGCCUGUGACGAAGCGUGAGUGACGGUAAUGGGUAAAGAAGCACCGGCUAACUACGUG